rnacentral:rRNA from 1 species
CCUACGGGUGUCAGCAGUGAGGAAUAUUGGUCAAUGGACGCAAGUCUGAACCAGCCAUGCCGCGUGCGGGAAGACUGCUCUAUGAGUUGUAAACUGCUUUUAUACGAGGGUAAACGCGUAUACGCGUAUCUGUCUGAAAGUACCGCACGAAUAAGGAUCGGCUAACUCCGUGCCAGCAGCCGCGGUAAUACGGAGGAUUCGAGCGUUAUCCGGAUUUAUUGGGUUUAAAGGGUGCGUAGGCGGGCGGAUAAGUUAGCGGUGAAAUUCUGAGGCUCAACUUCGGGAGUGCCUCUGAAACUGUUGGGCUAGAGAGUAGUUGAGGUAGGCGGAAUGUAUGGUGUAGCGGUGAAAUGCUUAGAGAUCACACAGAACACCGAUUGCGAAGGCAGCUUACC